UUGAGCUGAAUGUAAAGAGACCCCUGAUGCCUGUCCACCUGAGUCCAGAGCAGGUGGGGCUGGAGAUGCUGUAUCUCUGUGGACAACUGGACCUUCUCAUCAGGGCACAGGUACACCAGUUCCAGGAGCAGCUGAGACAGGACUGUAGCCCUGAGGAGUCGGACACUUUCCAGGAGCAAGGAGCAGAGAUUAUUGAUCAGAUGCUCCAAUGCUUAGAACACCUGCCAAGACCUAUGCCGCACCUGGAGAAUACUUCUCACACAUCGGGAGGCUCAAUCAGCUACUAGUACUUAGUCAGCAGCUAGAGGAGGAUGUAAAACAUCUCGGGAGCCACAAAUACAUCGCCCACCAGCUGUCAGUUAUAUAUCAAGUGCUCAGCUCAUUCCGAGGUAUCCAGCCACUGUCGGUCCUGAAGAAAGAGAUUGAGGCCAACUUCAGACAGAUGAAGACAUCUUUGCUGACAGAGGAGGGCUCCAGGCAGGAGCCUCAGCUCCCAGCACACUACAUCAGCUGGAUAUUGGAGCUGACUCUUAGUAUAACGUCAACAGUCUCCUCGCUACCAGAGGAACUCACUGAAGACCUGAGUCCAGCCAUGACCUUUGUGUCCCAGCUAUGACAUCACACCUGACAUUGGGCCCGUGUUACAUAUUACCAACCCGUGGAGCUGAGGGUCAACAACAUUUGAUUUUUUGAUUUUUUAUUAAUGUCCGACAGACCAACCCGGUGAUUCAAGAAUGAUGCUUUGACAUGUCACUGUCAUUUUAUUGAAUAGGGUCCUGAGCUCUCAUUGGUUAAGUGGAUGAAUGUUAAUGAAUGUGUUAUAAAUGUGUUAGGCCAAAUGUCUAAAAAGAGGUGCUAAAUAAUGUUACUGUAUGAAAUUGCAUUUGAACAAAUUGUUUACAUUGGCCAAUAAAUUAAAUUGAGAGAUAAGCCUAUAGACUGAAAAUCUUCUGAAUUUCAAUAACAGAGAUUGACCACGAGUCAUAGAUUUGAAAGAGAACAGGCUAAUCGGGCAAAAUGGUCACGGAAGCCACGGAUGUUCAAGGCCGACCGUGGUCGAGCAUACAUUGUUAGCGGAAAACAGGAUAGUGAAUGGAAAAAUGGAAAUCCUCAUGGUCAAUCAUCGUCUUAAUAAAUACACAUUUGAAAGAAAACCAUUGUACCAAUACUUGCUUCUAAUACACCAGAUAUAUGUCAUUGAACUGAUUACUUGACUUGAUUAUUUUAUUGGCUAUCAACUUGUGUUACUCAGCUAGCCUGCACUGUCACGCAGUGUUGCCAACUCCUCAUUAAGGAAAGUAGCUAUAUUGUGAUGGAUGCUGUAGGGGAGAGGAAUAACCUCGUGGGAGAGACAAAAAGUGAGUAAAAAACAUCCUAAAUAUGUUUAGAACUACAAAUGAACUUUCUUCUGUUGAUUCUUGGUUUUUUUUAUGUCACAAUUCCAACCAUCCUCAAAUUAUGACUUCAAAGUAUUUUAAUGAUUGGGACCGGGAAAAGUGACCCAAAAGAGACACUCCAGCAGAGUUACUUAGUUUUUUAGUUUAGUUUUUUUAUUUGUUUUUGUUUUUAACCUUAUGGAUCCACUUAGGAGCCUACAACAAGUCACAGUAAAACAUUAACAUUUUUAACCAUACAUUUUUUUUUGUAUACAUUCUACAUUAACAAUCUAAAUGGACCUAAAAGAGACAAUAGAAAAAACUGUCAAUGGCAAUGUGAGAAAAUUAAGGUAACUAGUCUGGCCCUAAUUCAGGUUAGUUUUGUAAACCAGGGAGGGAUCAGCCAGCGGCAGCUUCCCGCAUGCGCGAUUCAUUUGCAGUCUGGACGCGGACUGGUGAACAUCCGCUCUGACUGCAGUUGGGAGGGGCUGCUGCGCGAGGACUGAGUGCUUUGAGACGGGGGUGGGGCCCCAAGAGUAAGAACGAUACGUGCUUUCACGUCAGUGUCUCCAAUAACACCAGAAAAAGUCGCUAGAUUUGUUGCGAGUCGCUUUUUAAAAAAUGUGUCGCUAAAAGGGUCUGAAUACUCCCUAAAUAUAGCGACAAAGUCGCUAAAUUGGUAACACUGCGAUGUCCGCGUCUUCUUCGGUGGGGUUUAUCGGCGGGUGGCAUCCAACGUAAUGGUGCAUUACCGCCACCUACUGUACUGGAGUGUAGGCCAGAGAAAGCGAGAAACCUAAUCCUACCUGCCAGCCCCGUUGCUUAAAAAAGCUAACAAAAUAUUUGGGACUAUAUCUAAUGACGUUAUACUCAAUAUACUCUUUAAACUAAUUUCCUGUAUCCCCUUUUCCCUCAUACUAGAUCUCAUCCUCUCUCUUUCCCUCCAAUAAUGACCAUACUGUAUCAAUACAUGCUCCACGGUCUCUGUUUCCUGGCAAUACUCACAUUUUCCUGUUGGAUGCUUUCCUAUCACAUGUAAGGUCUUAUUCAACUGGCUGUGGCCCACACUUAAUCGUGUAAAUAUAGCCUCCUCUCUUCUGUUCCUUCCUGCCAUUCUCCCCUCCCCAACUUUCCUCUGUUCUUGAAAUAAAUACCUGCCCUAAGUAUCUCUACUCCACUGCUCCUGCCAUUUCUCCAACGUCACUCUCCAUAUCAUGCUUUUUGCCUCUGCCUUGCUCAUUGAAACUAGCACAUCAACAUCCCCACUACUUAGUGCUUGUUUAGCCAGUAUAUCAACUGCCUCGUUCCCCUCCACUGUAUGACAUCUAGCCUUUCCAUGGUUCGGCAGCCCGUACAACAAUACGCUAUCCUUCCGUAGUCUAUUACAGAUCUGAUCAAUGCAACAUAUAUGGUCUUCAAUGAGGCACGCCCAGCCCCCCACUCCUUCCCUGUCAGACAGCACAAAUAACGACCUCCCAAUAUCUGUCGGUACCUGAGAGUAAACAUCAUUAAUCAUGAUUGAGGACAACAGAUGACUAAUCACGCUCCCCUGUGGUGUACCAUUAUCCACCAUGUAGCUACCUGAAAGAGACUUACAGGAAAUCUUUUAUCCAGUUGUACGUUCUUCCUCCUACCCCCAUAAUAUCAAGCUUGAUUAACAACCCCUCCUUCCACAUCAUAUCAUACGCCUUCUCCACAUCAAAAAAUGCAGCUUCAACAGUCUCCUUGUUCACCUGAGCCUUCCUGUUCUCUGCUUCUAAGCAGAGCACUGGGUCCAUUGUUCCCCUACCCUUCCUGAAUCCGCUCUGAUGUGGCGAUACUAACCCCCUGCUCUCCAGGAAGGAAGUUAGCCUCUCCGUUAUCAUACACUCCAUAAUCUUACAUACAUGUGAUGUUAAGGCCAUUGGCCGAUUUUGGGUCCUUUCCUGGCUUCCGGAUUGGUACCACUACUGCCUCCUUCCAGCUGCCUGGUAGUUUCCCCUCCCACACUCUAUUGUACAACACCAAUACAUUAUCCAGUGCCUCAUCACUAAUAUGGGCCCUCAUAACAUAGCACACCUCAUCUUUCCCAGAUGAAGUUAACCCAGCCUUACCUAUUGCCCUUUUCACCUCUGCCAUGGUAAAUGGUGCAUUCAAUGCAUCAUUUACAUCCUCCCUCCUAUCCAGCAAUCCAGGAUGUUCCUCUCUUGUUCUCUCUCUAUCCCUCUGCCCCUCUGACAAAUUUACAGAGCUAUGCACUUGGACAAACGCUUUGGCCAUCAUCUCUGCCUUCUCAUCUGUUACUGCCACAUCCUCCCCACUCAUCAACACUGGAUAAUCCCACUCCCUUCUGACCCCACUCAUUCUGUUAAUCAUCCCCCACACUUCUCCCACUGGUGUCGCCCUUCCAAUGGUGUCACAGAACCAACGCCAACAUGACCUCUUUGCCUGAGGAAUAGUUCUCCUCAGAGCCUGGGCCUGCUUAUACUGAAUCAGAUGUUGGAAGUUAUGUGUCCUUUUCAGUACUGUAAAUGCUCUGUUCCUACUCCUCACCAUUGUCCCACACGCCUCCGUCCACCACGGGACUGCUUUCCUCCUCCUCCUCCCUGAACUCUUAGGUACU
rnacentral:lncRNA from 13 species